CCUACGGGAGGCAGCAGUGCGGAAUAUUGGUCAAUGGGCGGGAGCCUGAACCAGCCAAGCCGCGUGGGUGAAGAAGCGCCUCGGCGCGUAAAGCCCUGUCAGCAGGGAAGAAAAUGACGGUACCUGCAGAAGAAGCCCCGGCUAACUACGUGCCAGCAGCCGCGGUAAUACGUAGGGGGCAAGCGGUCUCCGGAUUUACUGGGUGUACAGGGGGCGCAGACGGCGAUGCAAGCCAGGAGUGAAAGCCCGGGGCCCAACCCCGGGACUGCUUUUGGAACUGCGUGGCUGGAGUGCAGGAGGGGCAGGCGGAAUUCCUGGUGUAGCGGUGAAAUGCGUAGAUAUCAGGAGGAACACCGGUGGCGAAGGCGGCCUGCUGGACUGCAACUGACGUUGAGGCCCGAAAGCGUGGGGAGCAAACAGGAUUAGAUACCCCAGUAGUC
rnacentral:rRNA from 1 species